rnacentral:lncRNA from 1 species
CCCACGGACGGGAGAGAAUGUCCCUCUCGCUUCAGAAGCGUGGGCCGACCUACGCCUCAAGUGGGGGAAAGAAGUGGGGCGGAAAUGCAACGCGAGGUCUGCGUUGAUCUCCCUGAAAAGGGCAAGCGGCUGUGCCCAGACUCGUUUCUUGAAGCGCGUCCCACGUACGCGUCCUUGUCGAGUCGCGACAGGGAACGGAGACAAGAGACAAGGUUUCGUGAGGAAGCGAGGGAGGAAACAGAACGGGAACUCCAAACACUUUCUCCGACUGGAAGUGUUUUGCGCCGUAACGGGAACAGGCAAAGAGAGGAAGAAGACGUGUGGCGACGGACUGGCCGUUCUGUUCGAGCGUCGGGUGUUUGUCGUUGGGGCGGCGGUCGAGAUGAGCAGCCAUCGAAACGCUCGGACGAAACACCCAGAAAUGCGCAUGUUUCGCCUCCAGUCACGCCGCGAACGCAGGCAGAGGCGCGCGAGAAGACGCCUCGCACGUGGAGACCCGCGUACCCGCCGUCUGCCCAGGCUCAUCUGUGUUUCAUCCCGCGGCGCGUAGGAAGCAGCUUGGCAGAUGCGCAGAAAGCUAGAAAUCAGGCAGAAGGAAAACGAGCCGAAAAACACCGGGAGGCUCAACCAGUGGCGGAAGGCGAGAGAAUAAGCGGACGGACGAACCCCUCUCUGAGAGGAACGGAGAAGGAAGGAUCAAGGCCAGCAAGUCGCCCAGGACUCUCAAGUGGCCUUUGCGAGGGAGACGGGAAGGAUAGCGCGCACAGAGGAAGAACGGAGCCUGUUUCCCGAACAGGGGGCGGCGGUCGAGUUUUUGAUCGCCGGUCCGUCUCUCCUCGGCAAUCGCGUUCAGAAAAAGCCAGGGAAGACAAACAGCAGAGAACGCGAGAGGAAUGGAGAAGAGGGAGCGACGACGGAAAAGGGAGCGAGAAUCAAGCGAACGCGGGAGUGGACAGAAAGCAAGCAGAAGCUGUAUCUCGCGCUCUCCAGUCGCCGGUGGCGGUCAACACCGUUGAGAAGAAUGCGAAAAAGCUCCUGCAGUGCAUGCAGCGAGAGCUAGGCCAACGCGCUCCGACACUUCUUCCCGUCCAAGCAAAACUUCAGCAUCUCGUGGAAGUUAGUUUCUCCCCGACGCCUGGUCUCGUCUGAAGUGCCUGAACUUGUCGAAACUCGAACUCUCCGUUUUACGUUUUCCACCCGGUUUCAGGGCGCUUUAGAAACCCGUUUAGCCCGUCUUUGCAGGU